rnacentral:tRNA from 1 species
AUUAUUUUGGCAGAAAUUUAUGCAAUGAAUUUAGAAUUCAUUAAUAUAUAAUUAUAUUUAUAUAAAUAAUA